AUUGAACGCUGGCGGCAGGCUUAACACAUGCAAGUCGAGCGGAGAGAGGUAGCUUGCUACUGAUCUUAGCGGCGGACGGGUGAGUAAUGCUUAGGAAUCUGCCUAUUAGUGGGGGACAACAUUUCGAAAGGAAUGCUAAUACCGCAUACGUCCUACGGGAGAAAGCAGGGGAUCUUCGGACCUUGCGCUAAUAGAUGAGCCUAAGUCGGAUUAGCUAGUUGGUGGGGUAAAGGCCUACCAAGGCGACGAUCUGUAGCGGGUCUGAGAGGAUGAUCCGCCACACUGGGACUGAGACACGGCCCAGACUCCUACGGGAGGCAGCAGUGGGGAAUAUUGGGCAAUGGGCGCAAGCCUGAUCCAGCCAUGCCGCGUGUGUGAAGAAGGCCUUAUGGUUGUAAGGCACUUUAAGCGAGGAGGAGGCUACUUUAGUUAAUACCUAGAGAUAGUGGACGUUACUCGCAGAAUAAGCACCGGCUAACUCUGUGCCAGCCGCCGCCGUAACAC
rnacentral:rRNA from 1 species